rnacentral:rRNA from 1 species
GUGCCAGCAGCCGCGGUAAUUCCAGCUCCAAUAGCGUAUAUUAAAGUUGUUGUGGUUAAAAAGCUCGUAGUUGAACCUUGGGCCUGGCUGGCCGGUCCGCCUCACCGCGUGCACUGGUCCGGCCGGGCCUUUCCCUCUGUGGAACCCCAUACCCUUCACUGGGCGUGGCGGGGAAACAGGACAUUUACUUUGAAAAAAUUAGAGUGCUCCAGGCAGGCCUAUGCUCGAAUACAUUAGCAUGGAAUAAUAAAAUAGGACGCGCGGUUCUAUUUUGUUGGUUUAUAGGACCGCCGUAAUGAUUAAUAGGGACAGUCGGGGGCAUCAGUAUUCAACUGUCAGAGGUGAAAUUCUUGGAUCAGUUGAAGACUAACUACUGCGAAAGCAUUUGCCAAGGAUGUUUUCAUUAAUCAGGAACGAAAGUUAGGGGAUCGAAGACGAUCAGAUACCGUCGUAGUCUUAACCAUAAACUAUGCCGACUAGGGAUCGGACGGUGUUAUUCAUGACCCGUUCGGCACCUUACGAGAAAUCAAAGUGCUUGGGCUCCAGGGGGAGUAUGGUCGCAAGGCUGAAACUUAAAGAAAUUGACGGAAGGGCACCACCAGGGGUGGAGCCUGCGGCUUAAUUUGACUCAACACGGGGAAACUCACCAGGUCCAGACACAAUAAGGAUUGACAGAUUGAGAGCUCUUUCUUGAUUUGUGGGUGGUGUGCAUGGCCGUUCUUAGGUGGUGGGGUGACUUGUCUGCUUAAUUGCGAUAACGAACGGAGACCUUAACUGCUAAAUAGGCCGCAUUGCUUCGGCAGUGCGCUGCUUCUUAGAGGGACUUUCGGCUCAGCCGAAGGGAGUUUGGAGCAAUAACAGGUCUUGUGGAUUGC